AUUUCAGACUCCAGGGACAGCUGUCACCCACCAAAAACUGGGGUCACAAGGGGUCCAUCUGGCAGUGGCUGGAGCCUUGCAAGGGCACAGCUGCUGCUGCGGAUGUACUGUUCCCCUCCUGCCUGGGAACCCUGGCCUUGCUGGGGUCACCUCCUCCACAACUUGGACUGGAGCAGAAGGACAAAGAAUGGAUCUGAGGACAAGCUGGCCCAGGACCAGAACUACCAUCAUCAAAGAGGGGAUGCUGACCAAACAGAACAAUUCAUUCCAGCGAUCAAAAAGGAGAUACUUUAAGCUUCGAGGGCGAACGCUUUACUAUGCCAAAACGGCAAAGAAGAAUUUGUUUUAGCCAGGACCUUCCCCCUCCAUGUGCUCGCUGGAGGAACAAGCCAGGAGGACACGG
rnacentral:lncRNA from 1 species